GGCAUAAAUACUGUUUCCAUCUUUCAUGUGAAUCCUUUCCCUGAUUGUUCUAAACUACAAUGAUGAACAACAGCUUCUUCAUCAAUGGUCUCUAGGUUUUUUUCCCAAUGCUAUUGGCAAAGACACAGGUUCAGAAAAGAACAGUGGUAAAUAAGGGGAUAAGGCAUUAUUCUUUGGAGAGGCAUUAUUCUUUGGAGAGAGAACCCAUACUUUUGGAAGAAAAAAAUGGUGAAUUUUGUUAGCAUAGUGUUUUGGACCACAUAUUUUCUUGUGUUUUUAGAUGGAUAUGAUUCUUUGGAUCCCAAUGGAAACAUUCCCAUCAAAUGGGACAGCCUUGCAUGGGAUUCUAGUACAUAUGAUUACAGAAAGAGCAGAUCAUCUACCCCAACCUGCUGCCUCCCCAUGUCUGAGUUUUAUAAUGAGACAAUCGUUCCCUGCCCCUUACGCAACUGGAGCUGCCAAGCACAAGCAAAUUGUGUAAAGUCUGGGGCUAAACCGUCCCUCUUGCAGCAGCUACGAGAUAAGCAGCAAAGACUGCCACCAGUCUUAAGGUGCUCGAGCCACAUGUGUCCCAUUCAGGUGCAUUGGCAUGUGAAUCAUAUCCAGAACUACUCUAACGGGAACUUGGUGGUGUUUCAUCCCAGCUUAACUUGCAUUUUCAGCUUCAACUACAAUCCUCUCAAUUACGACGGAGAUAUAGCAAUGAUACUCGGAUUUUUUGGGGGAUUCAGUAUUAUAACGACAAGCUGCUGCAAUCAGGUAAGAAAUGGAAUGUGCAGACUAAAUUGCUACUGCAAAAAGAUCCAGGAAUUUUCACCUUUAGGGAGGAUGGACUUUUCCAAGAAGGAUUUGUUUUAAUGGAGAUGAAUCUGUCAUGCCCCAACCAGAUCAGUUCCCAAUAUUUCUACCCAACAAUGUAAGUGGUGAACUCAACAUCUGACGAGGACUAUUCCAUGAGAUAAGUAAUGAAUGGAAGGAAAUAGAAAACAUACUGAUGAUGAAAUAAAAGAAAUCCAGUAACAUUAUCAAUUUGUGACCUGCAACUGCAUAUUGCAGAUUGUCUGGAAAUUAGACAGAUCGAGUCAGAUCAUUUUAGGUCCAAGGAUAUUAGAAUUAUUUUGGAGUCAGAUUGUUUUGAGUUCGAGUCAUUUCAAGGUUGAGUCAUCUUGAGUUCGAUCAUUCUAUAUUCCAGUUAUUCGGAUUUAACACUCAAGUUAUUCAGGUUCGAGAUUAUUUGAGUUUGAGUCAUUUCUAGUGAAAUCAAUUUAAGUCAAGUUUGGGUUCUAAUAGAUCAAACAAGUUUUCCGGAUUCGGAUUCGGAUUACCAGCUGUAAGAUUGUCUUAUGACAAAGAAGACUCAAACUAUACAUCAUGUUUGAAAGCUGUAGUUACACAAAGAAACAGUUAAUGAUAGCAUCUCUAUAAGGUGAACGUUUCUAUCA